GAUGAAGAACGCAGCGAAAUGCGAUAAGUAAUGUGAAUUGCAGAAUUCAGUGAAUCAUCGAAUCUUUGAACGCACAUUGCGCCCGCCAGUAUUCUGGCGGGCAUGCCUGUUCGAGCGUCAUUACAACCCUCAGGCCCCCGGGCCUGGCGUUGGGGAUCGGCGGAAGCCCCCUGCGGGCACAACGCCGUCCCCCAAAUACAGUGGCGGUCCCGCCGCAGCUUCCAUUGCGUAGUAGCUAACACCUCGCAACUGGAGAGCGGCGCGGCCACGCCGUAAAACACCCAACUUCUGAAUGUUGACCUCGAAUCAGGUAGGAAUACCCGCUGAACUUAAGCAUGUCAAUAAGCGGAGGA
rnacentral:misc_RNA from 1 species